rnacentral:SRP_RNA from 1 species
AGCCGGGUCCCGCGCAACGGACGGUCGCCAACCCCGUCAGGCCCGGAAGGGAGCAGCGGUAACGACUUCACCGUGUGCCGCGGGGGUGCCUGGCUGUC